CCUUUCUCUAUUAGAAACAUGGUAGUUUCCUAUCCAAGAAGAGAAUUUCUCUACUGCCUACUCUCUGGUGUUUUAGGAGUUAAGGUGGCAUUUAUGGGCUCAAGUCAAUCUUAUAAAAUUGAAAAUGAGCCCAGACCAUCUCCUUUAAGCCUCAUUAAUGAAAAAAAUUGGCUGAACUAGACUCUGGGCUGAGUUUUCUUUGAGUUAAAGGAGAACCAGGUGAAUCAUCUCAAAAGAAUUAAGACAGCCUACUGUUGCAGCUCCAGUAACCAAUUUAGUUACUGAAGGCUUCUAAAGGAAUAGGGGAAACUUCAAUGAUUACAGCAUGGACCUUUCCCAAGGGCCUCCAGUAGUUCUGUGCAGUGCCAGCCAUAAAGAAGAGGGGGAUGGAAACUGGAACAUGAGGGAUGAGAACUAGAGAGGGAUGACAAAUGGAUGUCAGUUCUAAUCAAUUAGUGGCUGCUGCUUGGCCACUGGGUUGGAAAGUUGGGAAAGUUGUAUCUGGGGUCAUAGGAAAGGGCACUAUUAUUGAUUAUCAGUGUCUGCUAGGGGUCCACAGAGGGAUGUGGGUCCAGAUACAGUCACCUACACUCACUGAGUGUUGCUACUAUUCCUCGAGCUCAAAUUUGCUAUGAGUCUUGGAGGCAAAAAUAUUAUUUGGAAACAAUUGAUAACUUUUUCAAAGAUAGAUUUAUGUAUUUAUCUGUUUAUCUAUCUGUCUAUCUCUAGGAAAAUGUUCUGGAGAAGAGGGAAUCUGAAUUUGGCUUUGAAAUUUGAAUAGUGGUCCUAAGGCACAAGGGACAGAAUUCCUGGCAGCAGGAUCCAAGAUGGGAAAGGCCCAGAGAUGGGGCAGGUUAUUAUGCAUUUGAAGACCUCUGGAUUUGCUGAAGCAGCUGCAGAAUAUAUAGGUAAGAAUAUUUUCCACCAUUGCUGCUCAGACGUAUCGCUUUAUGAAGGAGGUGGAAGGAGGUCAGAUCAUACUCAGCACUUCCGAGUGGGGAAGAAAGAGGGAGGACUAGGACCUGGACUCAAGGAUUCUGCUCCAGACCUUUACUUGCACCACAAGCCUUCCUCCUCUGCCUCAUCCAUGCUCCCUAGUAUGCCGAGGAUGCAGCCCCAGCCAGAGGCUUCAGAAAGCUUUAAGGAUUCUUGUGUUCCUUGGAAUCAAGCCUGGAAAUGGAAAUCUGGUGUAGUCUCAUGUUGUGAGGCAAUGCAGCCCAGCCUUUGAAAACAGAUAGACCUGCCAU
rnacentral:lncRNA from 1 species